UACGUAGGGGGCUAGCGUUGUCCGGAAUCAUUGUGCGUAAAGCGCGCGUAGGCGGCCCGGUAAGUCCGCUGUGAAAGUCAAAGGCUCAACCUUUGAAUGUCAGCGGAUACUGCCGGGCUAGAGUCCGGAAGAGGCGAGUGGAACUCCUGGUGUAGCGGUGGAAUGCGCAGAUAUCAGGAAGAACACCAACGGCGAAGGCAGCUCGCUGGGACGGAACUGACGCUGAGGCGCGAAAGCGUGGGGAGCGAACGGG
rnacentral:rRNA from 1 species